AAAAUGGGUGGGGAUCAGCUCAUAGCGUAUAUUAAAGUUGUUGCAGUUAAAAAGCUCGUAGUUGAACUUUGGGCUUGGUCAGCCGGUCCGCUUUUUUGCGUGUACUGGUCCUGACCGAGCCUUUCCUUCUGGCUAACCUGUCUCUCGGGGCAGGCGAACCAGGACUUUUACUUUGAAAAAAUUAGAGUGUUUAAAGCAGGC
rnacentral:rRNA from 1 species